rnacentral:rRNA from 1 species
UGGGGAAUAUUGCGCAAUGGGGGAAACCCUGACGCAGCAACGCCGCGUGAGUGAUGAAGGCCUUCGGGUCGUAAAGCUCUGUCAGGUGGAAAGAAUAAUACUGAGCUAACAGUUCAGUAUCUGACGGUACCGCCAAAGGAAGCACCGGCUAACUCUGUGCCAGCAGCCGCGGUAAGACAGAGGGUGCUAGCGUUGUUCGGAAUUACUGGGCGUAAAGGGCGUGUAGGUUGUACAGUAAGUCGGGUGUGAAAUCCCACGGCUCAACCGUGGAACGGCAUUCGAUACUACUGAACUUGAGUCCAAGAGAGGGAAGUGGAAUUCCCAGUGUAGAAGUGAAAUUCGUAGAUAUUGGGAGGAACACCGGUAGCGAAAGCGACUUCCUGGCUUGGCACUGACACUGAUACGCGAAAGCGUGGGGAGCAAACA